GCAUUGGAGAUCAGUGAGUCUGUUCUUGAGCUGUCGGGCAGAGUCUAGGUUUGUAAUUGAUCAGUGAUGAUCUUCCGAUUGGGUGAUUUCUUCUUCCUUGCUGCUGGCUAAUCUGUUGAGCAGCUCUCUUGGGUUUCGGCAGAACCUCCCUCCAGCAGCAUCUUGUUUCAACAGCAACUUGAUUAAAGCAGUGAGGUUCUGUUGCUGUGUUGUUGACAAAGGUUUUGGAUCAGUGAGGUGAAUUCUAGCAGCAUUCCUUGAUCCAGCAAUCAACAGGGCUGUGAAUCGAGGACUCUGAUUCGAGACAGACGUCUCGACGU